rnacentral:rRNA from 1 species
GUCUGGAGCCCUUCGACCCUGGCUUGAUCUUGGAAGCUAAGCAGGGUAGGGACUGGCUAGAACUUGGAUGGGAGACUGCCUGGGAAAACCAGGUGCUCAAAAAC